rnacentral:rRNA from 1 species
UACGGAGGGUGCGAGCGUUGUCCGGAAUCAUUGGGCGUAAAGGGCGCGUAGGUGGCCUGGUCAGUUCGUGGUGAAAGCGCGGGGCUCAACUCCGCGUCGGCCAUGAAUACUGCUGGGCUGGAGCACUGUAGAGGCAGGCGGAAUUCCGGGUGUAGCGGUGGAAUGCGUAGAGAUCCGGAAGAACACCGGUGGCGAAGGCGGUCUGCUGGGCAGUUGCUGACACUGAGGCGCGACAGCGUGGGGAGCAAACAGG